UACGUAGGGUGCAAGCGUUAAUCGGAAUCACUGGGCGUAAAGCGCACGUAGGCGGAUUGCUAAGUCAGGGGUGAAAUCCUGGAGCUCAACUCCAGAACUGCCUUUGAUACUGGCAACCUUGAGUCCGGGAGAGGUGAGUGGAACUGCGAGUGUAGAGGUGAAAUUCGUAGAUAUUCGCAAGAACACCAGUGGCGAAGGCGGCUCACUGGCCCGGUACUGACGCUGAGGUGCGAAAGCGUGGGGAGCAAACAGG
rnacentral:rRNA from 1 species